rnacentral:rRNA from 1 species
UGCUGCAUAUCAAUAAGCGGAGGAAAAGAAACCAACCGGGAUUGCCUUAGUAACGGCGAGUGAAGCGGCAAAAGCUCAAAUUUGAAAUCUAGUACCUUCGGUGCUCGAGUUGUAAUUUGUAGAGGGAUACUUUGGGGCCGUCUCUUAUCUAUGUUCCUUGGAACAGGACGUCAUAGAGGGUGAGAAUCCCGUAUGAUGAGAGUCGCGGUUCUUUGUAAAGUUCCUUCGAAGAGUCGAGUUGUUUGGGAAUGCAGCUCUAAGUGGGUGGUAAAUUCCAUCUAAAGCUAAAUAUUGGCGAGAGACCGAUAGCGAACAAGUACAGUGAUGGAAAGAUGAAAAGAACUUUGAAAAGAGAGUGAAAAAGUACGUGAAAUUGUUGAAAGGGAAGGGCAUUUGAUCAGACAUGGUGUUUUGCGCCCUCUGCUCCUUGUGGGUGGGGGAAUCUCGCAGCUCACUGGGCCAGCAUCAGUUUUGGCGGUAGGAUAAAUCCAUAGGAAUGUGGCUUGCUUCGGUAAGUGUUAUAGCCUGUGGGAAUACUGCCAGCCGGGACUGAGGACUGCGACAUUCGUCAAGGAUGCUGGCAUAAUGGUUAUAUGCCGCCCGUCUUGAAACACGGACCACACUG